rnacentral:rRNA from 2 species
GGGGGAUAUUGCGCAAUGGGGGCAACCCUGACGCAGCAACGCCGCGUGAAGGAUGAAGGUUUUCGGAUUGUAAACUUCUUUUAUUAAGGACGAAACUUGACGGUACUUAAUGAAUAAGCUCCGGCUAACUACGUGCCAGCAGCCGCGGUAAUACGUAGGGAGCAAGCGUUGUCCGGAUUUACUGGGUGUAAAGGGUGCGUAGGCGGCUUUGCAAGUCAGAUGUGAAAUCUAUGGGCUCAACCCAUAAACUGCAUUUGAAACUGUAGAGCUUGAGUGAAGUAGAGACAGGCGGAAUUCCCCGUGUAGCGGUGAAAUGCGUAGAGAUGGGGAGGAACACCAGUGGCGAAGGCGGCCUGCUGGGCUUUAACUGACGCUGAGGCACGAAAGCGUGGGUAGCAAACAGGAUUAGAUACCCUGGUAGUCCACGCUGUAAACGAUGAUUACUAGGUGUGGGGGGUCUGACCCCUUCCGUGCCGGAGUUAACACAAUAAGUAAUCCACCUGGGGAGUACGGCCGCAAGGUUGAAACUCAAAGGAAUUGACGGGGGCCCGCACAAGCAGUGGAGUAUGUGGUUUAAUUCGAAGCAACGCGAAGAACCUUACCAGGUCUUGACAUCCAACUAACGAAGUAGAGAUACAUUAGGUGCCCUUCGGGGAAAGUUGAGACAGGUGGUGCAUGGUUGUCGUCAGCUCGUGUCGUGAGAUGUUGGGUUAAGUCCCGCAACGAGCGCAACCCUUGCUAUUAGUUGCUACGCAAGAGCACUCUAAUAGGACUGCCGUUGACAAAACGGAGGAAGGUGGGGACGACGUCAAAUCAUCAUGCCCCUUAUGACCUGGGCUACACACGUACUACAAUGGAUGUUAACAGAGGGAAGCAAGACAGCGAUGUGGAGCAAACCCCUAAAAACAUUCUCAGUUCAGAUUGCAGGCUGCAACCCGCCUGCAUGAAGAUGGAAUUGCUAGUAAUCGCGGAUCAGCAUGCCGCGGUGAAUACGUUCCCG